GGGUCAGUAGGUUGGUCGUGCCACCGGUACGUACUGGGCUCACUGAUUCCUCCUUCCUGAAGAACCGUAAUGCCAUUAAUUUGGUGUUGCGGGGAAACAGGACUGUUACUUUGAAAAAAUUUGAGUGUUUAAAGCAAGCUAACGCUUGAAUACAUUAGCAUGGAAUAAUGAAAUAGGACGAUCGAUCCUAUUUUGUUGGUUUCUAGGAUUGACGUA
rnacentral:rRNA from 1 species